rnacentral:rRNA from 1 species
ACGGGGGGAGCAAGCGUUGUUCGGAUUUACUGGGCGUAAAGGGCGCGUAGGCGGCCAGCACAAGUCAGUUGUGAAAUCCCCGGGCUCAACUCGGGAACUGCGUCCGAUACUGGCAGGCUUGAAUCCGGGAGAGGGAUGCGGAAUUCCAGGUGUAGCGGUGAAAUGCGUAGAUAUCUGGAGGAACACCGGUGGCGAAGGCGGCAUCCUGGACCGGUAUUGACGCUGAGGCGCGAAAGCCAGGGGAGCAAACAGGA